UACGUAGGGUCCGAGCGUUAAUCGGAAUUACUGGGCGUAAAGCGCGCGUAGGCGGCUUUGUAAGUUAGAGGUGAAAGCCCGGAGCUCAACUCCGGAACUGCCUUUAAAACUGCAUCGCUUGAAUCCAGGAGAGGUGAGUGGAAUUCCGAGUGUAGAGGUGAAAUUCGUAGAUAUUCGGAAGAACACCAGUGGCGAAGGCGGCUCACUGGACUGGUAUUGACGCUGAGGUGCGAAAGCGUGGGGAGCAAACAGG
rnacentral:rRNA from 1 species